rnacentral:rRNA from 1 species
UACAGAGGGGGCAAGCGUUGUUCGGAAUUACUGGGCGUAAAGGGCGCGUAGGCGGCCUGUUAAGUCGAACGUGAAAUCCCCGGGCUCAACCCGGGAACUGCGUCCGAUACUGGCAGGCUUGAAUUCGGGAGAGGGAUGUGGAAUUCCAGGUGUAGCGGUGAAAUGCGUAGAUAUCUGGAGGAACACCUGUGGCGAAAGCGGCUCACUGGACCAUAACUGACGCUGAUGCACGAAAGCUAGGGGAGCAAACAGG